AUGUCGGAUGAUGAGAUGGAUGACGAAGCAAGUGAAGUGGCAGCAUUGGAGCACAUAAUGAGUGAUGCAAGUGUAGAUCCUAUCAAGCUAUCCUAUGGUCUUUUGAGGUCCAUUACAGACAAUUUUUCUAAUGAAAUUGGUGGUGGUGGGUUUGGAGUUGUUUACCAGGGAGUUCUACGAAAUGGGAAUGUUGCUGUGAAGAAGCUACUGAAUCUGCAUGCUUUGCCUGAAAAGCAAUUUCUAGAUGAGAUCACGUGUUUGAAAAAGGCAAAGCACAGGAAUAUAGUAAGAUUUUUAGGCUAUUGUUCAGAAUCCCAGGGAGAAUUGCUUGAGUUCAAUGGAAAAAAUGUAUUGGGAGAGGCGCAACAGAAGUUGCUAUGCUUUGAAUAUCUUCCUAACGGAAACAUUAAGCAUUAUCUUCAAGGAGACAAAUGUCAAGGAGACGACUGGCCUCUACGGUACCAAAUGAUUAGAGGAAUUUGUCAAGGGUUACACUUUCUUCAUGGAAAACUCAUUAACCAUCUUGAUUUGAAACCUGAAAAUGUUAUGUUGGAUGCUCAAAUGGAGCCAAAAAUAACAGAUUUUGGUUUAUCCAGAUACUUGGAUCAAGGACAAUCUAUUAUUACUCAAAACAUACUUGGAACAAUGCGAUAUAUUGCACCAGAAACCAUAGACAAAGGAGAAAUAUCAUUAAAGUCAGAUGUAUACGCUUUGGGCAUUAUUAUCAUAGAACUAUUAACAGGGAUUGACAAGAUAGAUCUUAAUAGUCUGGAUGAUUAUUUAGACAACAUAGACUGCCCACGAGCGAGGAAGUGUGCCGAAAUAGCUCUAAACUGCAAGGACCCUGACAAACAUAACAGACCAACCAUACAUGAAGUAACUCGUGACCUGAAUGAUCUAGAGAACAUGAUUCCAUGGUCUUCCAUAGAAAAGGUCGCCCCCACUGCGUUCCCUGGGACUGAGCUGGUCGAUUUCUACCCUCUCGAGCUCAGGUUCCCCUUCGUGCCAAACCGGAAGAUGCAUUGUGAAAUCAGCCUUACCAACAAGCACACAGAUGCUGGAGUCUGGUUUAUGAUUAUACCUGAAGUUCCGAAUAGGUACCACGGUAGAUUAAGUGGCUUUAUGUCGCCAAUGUAUACAGUAGCUAUCCCAUUGUCCAGGAAAGCUGAAAAGGAUCCUCCCUUAGACGUUGAAAAAUUCGAGGUACUGAUGUUCAUCACAGAUACCGAUGUGGACGUUGUCAAUCAGCAGAUAUCAACAUUAUCUUUUGACGAAGGCGCGUCCAUCGAAGAUGAAAUCAAGGUAACUCAGGAGAUGCUGGGGUUCAAACUGCACCGGGUUAUGUUGACUGCUGUCGUGGUCAUAUCUGAGGAUAACGAUCGAGCUUUAGUGACGAAUGAUAUAGGCUUCGGAAAAGAAGUAACUAUGCAUGUCAGAUCCAUAGAUGUGCAUCCCAGGGAGCCAUGGGUGCUAAUCACUGAAGAUGGAAACCGUAUUCACAUUUGGAACUGGAAGACCAAUGGGAUAAUGGGAAUUCUACCUGGGAAGUCAUGGUCUAAUCUGGAAGGUGGAAAGGUGGGCCCUGAAGAUGUGGUUGCAAAAUUCAUCACUCGAAAGUCAUGGGUUGUAAUGGGGCUCCCAAAUGGGUUCGUCGAUGUGCGAAUGUAUCCCACAAUGGACCUAGUCAAGGAAUUCAGAGCUCACCGUUUAGGUGUCACUUUAUUGGCUGUUCACUCAACUCGUCCGUUCCUGCUGACCUGUGGUUAUCCCCCGUCGAUGAAGCUUUGGGACUGGAACCGCAAUUGGUCUUGUACCGGAAUAUUUGACAUCUCUAUACCCGUGACACAAGUCAUGUUUAACCCCAAGGAUAGUAGCAUUUUCGCUGCCCUUGACAAGGAUGGGGAAGUCAAGGCGUGGAGAAUUGGUCAUCCCGAUCCCAUUGCCACAACAAAAGGAGUAGAAGACUACGAGACUAGCCAACUUUUCACAUACGCUGGUGAUCGGCAUUUCAUUGCUGCUAUUGACGGCGAGGCUGCAUUAAUAUGGGAUAUGCUGAAACAAGAACAUGUCCACACACUCCAGAUUGCAGAAACCACAGAACACAUAAUUGCUACCGUUUGCCACCCAACACAACCGGUGUUAAUCACCAUUUCAAGUGACGGUAGUAUUCGUGUCUGGGACUGCAAUACGUACAGGCUUAAGAAGACCUACAUGCAUUUUCGAAAGGACCCUAGACAUGUUGGAUUUACAGACUCCGGAAGGCUUGUCAUAGGAUGUAGUCAUGGAAUAUCAAUAAUGGAUAUUGAUCUGGAAUGA
rnacentral:rRNA from 1 species